GUCAACUUCUCACUCUGCAGUAUUAUUGGAUUAGAGGACAUUGCUCUAUGCUCUGCUAAGCCUAUGUUUCUCUUUGUUUUUUUGUGUUGGACAUACAAUGCGUCCCUCGUUUCGGCCAUUAUAAAAGAAGUGAAGCGGAGGUUGCACGUUGCAACCCCCACUCCUUCAUCUGUUCAACAAACAAUCAAGGGGGAGUGAAUAUGUCUUGUUUAUUUCAUGUUUCUUCUUCGAGAGAAGCCAGUACCCGAUUAAGGUACCAA
rnacentral:sRNA from 1 species